CGGGAGGCAGCAGUGGGGAAUUUUGGGCAAUGGCCGAAAGGCUGACCCAGCGACGCCGCGUGCGGGAGGACGCCCUUCGGGGUGUAAACCGCUGUCAGAGGGGACGAAACUCGGGGGUGUGAAUAGCGCCCUCGCUUGACGGUACCUUCAAAGGAAGCGCCGGCUAACUCUGUGCCAGCAGCCGCGGUAAUACAGAGGGCGCGAGCGUUGUUCGGAAUCACUGGGCGUAAAGCGCGCGCAGGCGGGACGACAAGUGGGGAGUGAAAUUCCGGGGCUCAACUCCGGGCCUGCUUUCCAAACUGUCGACCUGGGGACCGGUAGAGGCCGGUGGAAUUCCCGGUGUAGCGGUGGAAUGCGUAGAGAUCGGGAAGAACACCCGUGGCGAAGGCGGCCGGCUGGGCCGGAUCCGACGCUGAGGCGCGAAAGCGUGGGGAGCAAACAGGAUUAGAUACCCUGGUAGUCCACGCCGUAAACGAUGGGCACUAGGCGCUGGGGGGAGCGACCCCUUCGGUGCCGCAGCUAACGCGUUAAGUGCCCCGCCUGGGGAGUACGGCCGCAAGGCUGAAACUUAAAGGAAUUGACGG
rnacentral:rRNA from 1 species